rnacentral:rRNA from 1 species
AAUCUUUCGCAAUGUACGCAAGUCUGACGGAGCAACGCCGCGCGAGUGAUGAAGGGUUUCGGAUCGUAAAACUCAGUUGUUAGGGAAGAGCAAGUAUCGGAGUCACUGCCGGUCGCUUUACGGUACCUGACGAGAAAGCCACGGCGAACAACGUGCCAGCAGCCGCGGUAAUACGUAGGUGGCAAGCGUUGUCCGGAUUUUUUGUGCGUAAAGCGCGGGCAGGCGGUCUUUUAAGUCUAAUGUGAAAUCUUACAGCUUAACUGUAAGCGGUCAUUGGAAACUGGGAGACUUGAGUGCAGAAGAGGAGAGUGGAAUUCCAUGUGUAGCGGUGAAAUGCGUAGAGAUAUGGAGGAACACCAGUGGCGAAGGCGACUCUCUGGUCUGUAACUGACGCUGAGGCGCGAAAGCGUGGGGAUCAAACA